CUGCGGUCGAAUACGUUCCCGGGUCUUGUACACACCCGCCCGUCAAACCAUGAAAGUGACCAACACCCGAAGUCCGAUUCGUCGGCCUAAGGUGGGGGCAUGAUUGGGGUU
rnacentral:rRNA from 1 species